rnacentral:rRNA from 1 species
UCCGCUGAGGAUGGCUUUUUCCUGGUGUAAUGAGCCGGGAGAAUAAGGAGAGGGCAAGUCUGGUGUCAGCCGCCGCGGUAAUACCAGCUCUCCGAGUGGUAGGGAUGAUUAUUGGGCUUAAAGCGUCCGUAGCCGGCUUGGCAAGUCUCCUGUUAAAUUCAGCGACCUAAUCGUUGAGCCGCGGGAGACACUACUAGGCUAGGAGGCGGAAGAGGCCGACGGUACUCUCGGGGUAGGGGUGAAAUCCUAUAAUCCCGGGAGGACCACCAGUGGCGAAGGCUGUCGG